AUUGAACGCUGGCGGCAGGCCUAACACAUGCAAGUCGGACGAGUGGCGGACGGGAGAGUAAUGUCUGCGAAACUGCCUGAUGGAGGGGGAUCACUACUGGAAACGGUAGACAAUACCGCAUAACAUCGUAUGUGCCCUGUGGGGAGUAGCUAGUAGGUGGGGGAAAGGAGUACCUAGGCGACGAUCCCUAGCUGGUCUGAGAGGAUGAACAGCCACACUGGAAUUGAGACACGGUCCAGAGUCCUACGGGAGGCAGUAUUGGGGAAUAUUGGACAAGGGGCGCAAGCUGGAUGCAGCAAUGCCGCGUGGUUGAAGAGGGCCUUCGGGUGGUAAAGUACGUUCAGCGGGGAGGCGGUACCCGCAGAAGAAGCAACGGCUAACUCCGUGCCAGCAGCCGCGGUAAUAC
rnacentral:rRNA from 1 species